GCGGGCGCGCUGGGAGGAAGGAAGGGCCCAGCGUGCAGGUGACUCCGUCCGGCCAUGGCGCGGGGGUGGAGGAUGCGGGCGGCCGGGCGUGGCACGCCUCGCCCAGGCUGCGCUUCCCGCCCCGGCCUCGGAGCGAUGGGUCCGCUAGAGCUCGGCGCCUAGAUUUGGCGGGGCUCGGGGCAAAGCACCCUGUACUAACGACUCAGCGGGUCCCACUCGCCAAGAGUCGAUUUUCGUCCUCACCACAGACUUGGGAGGGAGGUCUCAUUUUGCUAAUGAGAAAACGGAGGCUCAGAGGGGUGAGCCGAUUUGCCCGAGGUCGCACAGGAAGAGGCGGAAUUCCUAGCAAGUAAGCUGGACACAAAAUAAAGAAAUGGAGGCCCAGGGAGCUGAAGUUCUUUCCCAGCAUUUGCUGCCAGGAGUCUCUCCACCAUGAGGAAUGAGGCCAAGGGGCUGGCAAGAGGAGGUUGCUGACUGGAAGCUUUCAGCUGUGUAGAUUAUUCCAUCAACCCUCACUCCAAAAGCUGAAAGCAGCCCCCAAGCCUGCCCCGGAAGUGGAAAAUCCACUAGCUUGAUGAGACCAGGGUGAGUUUAAGAGCUCUGCUCCUACCUCUCCUGUCAUGCAAGGGCCCCAGGUGCCUCCUCCUCAGCCCCCACUCUCUCUCCUUUGCUUAACAACCCCCUCCUCCCUCCCCUCCCCAUGUCUAUCCACCCUUACCC